rnacentral:rRNA from 1 species
UACGUAGGCAGCGAGCGUUGUUCGGAGUUACUGGGCGUAAAGGGUGCGUAGGCGGUUGUUUAAGUUUGGUGUGAAAUCUCCCGGCUCAACUGGGAGGGUGCGCCCGAAUACUGAAUGACUUGGAGUGCGGGAGAGGAGAGUGGAAUUCCUGGUGUAGCGGUGAAAUGCGUAGAUAUCAGGAGGAACACCGGUGGUGUAGACGGCUCUCUGGACCGUAACUGACGCUGAGACACGAAAGCGUGGGUAGCAAACAGG